rnacentral:rRNA from 1 species
AGGCCUAACACAUGCAAGUCGAGCGGUAGCACAGAGAAGCUUGCUUCUUGGGUGACGAGCGGCGGACGGGUGAGUAACGCGUGGGAAUCUACCUGGUAGUGGGGGACAACAGUCGGAAACGACUGCUAAUACCGCAUACGCCCUUCGGGGGAAAGUGGGGGAUCUUCGGACCUCACGCUAUCAGAUGAGCCCGCGUCGGAUUAGCUUGUUGGUGAGGUAAAGGCUCACCAAGGCGAUGAUCCGUAGCUGGUCUGAGAGGAUGACCAGCCACACUGGGACUGAGACACGGCCCAGACUCCUACGGGAGGCAGCAGUGGGGAAUAUUGGACAAUGGGGGCAACCCUGAUCCAGCCAUGCCGCGUGUGUGAAGAAGGCCUUCGGGUUGUAAAGCACUUUCAGCUGUGAGGAAAGGUGAGUGGUUAAUACCCGCUUGCUGUGACGUUAACAGCAAAAGAA